CUCCUUCAGUGUCUCAAUGGAGGCGAAGUACUUGGACCACCAGUCCAGCAUGCUCUCAUCUGGCCCCUCUUCCUCUGGCUCAUCU